rnacentral:rRNA from 1 species
UACGUAGGGGGCUAGCGUUGUCCGGAAUCAUUGGGCGUAAAGAGCGUGUAGGCGGUCCGGUAAGUCCGCUGUGAAAGUCGGGGGCUCAACCCUCGAAUGCCGGUGGAUACUGUCAGGCUAGAGUGCGGAAGAGGCGAGUGGAAUUCCUGGUGUAGCGGUGAAAUGCGCAGAUAUCAGGAGGAACACCUAUUGCGAAGGCAGCUCGCUGGGACGUAACUGACGCUGAGACGCGAAAGCGUGGGGGAGCAAACAGG